UUUGUAGAAUGAACCGGCGAGUUACGAUUUGAUGCAAGGUUAAGCAGUAAAUGUGGAGCCGUAGCGAAAGCGAGUCUGAAUAGGGCGUUUAGUAUUUGGUCGUAGACCCGAAACCAGGUGAUCUACCCUUGGUCAGGUUGAAGUUCAGGUAACACUGAAUGGAGGACCGAACCGACUUACGUUGAAAAGUGAGCGGAUGAACUGAGGGUAGCGGAGAAAUUCCAAUCGAACCUGGAGAUAGCUGGUUCUCUCCGAAAUAGCUUUAGGGCUAGCCUCAAGUGAUGAUUAUUGGAGGUAGAGCACUGUU
rnacentral:rRNA from 1 species